GACGAACGCUGGCGGCGUGCUUAACACAUGCAAGCCGAACGGUAAGGCCCUUCGGGGUACACGAGUGGCGAACGGGUGAGUAACACGUGGGUGAUCUGCCCUGCACUUCGGGAUAAGCCUGGGAAACUGGGUCUGAUACCGGAUAGGACCACUGCCUGCAUGGUAGGUGGUGGAAAGCUUUUGCGGUGUGGGAUGGGCCCGCGGCCUAUCAGCUUGUUGGUGGGGUGAUGGCCUACCAAGGCGACGACGGGUAGCCGGCCUGAGAGGGUGACCGGCCACACUGGGACUGAGAUACGGCCCAGACUCCUACGGGAGGCAGCAGUGGGGAAUAUUGCACAAUGGGCGCAAGCCUGAUGCAGCGACGCCGCGUGAGGGAUGACGGCCUUCGGGUUGUAAACCUCUUUCAGCACCGACGAAGCGCAAGUGACGGUAGGUGCAGAAGAAGGACCGGCCAACUACGUGCCAGCCGCCGCGGUAA
rnacentral:rRNA from 1 species